GAUGAACGCUAGCUACAGGCUUAACACAUGCAAGUCGAGGGGCAGCAUGUAGGUUGCUUGCAACCUAUGAUGGCGACCGGCGCACGGGUGCGUAACGCGUAUCCAACCUUCCCCGCAGUAGGGUCCAGCCCGUUGAAAGACGGAUUAAUCCCCUAUGUUGUCCAUUGACGGCAUCCGAUUUGGACGAAAGAUUUCAUCGCUGCAGGAUGGGGAUGCGUCUGAUUAGCUUGUCGGCGGGGUAACGGCCCACCGAGGCGACGAUCAGUAGGGGUUCUGAGAGGAAGGUCCCCCACAUUGGUACUGAGACACGGACCAAACUCC
rnacentral:rRNA from 1 species